GGGGAAAGUGCACAGCUCAGCGGUAAAGCAUCUGCUUUGCAUGUAGGAGGUUCAAUCCCCAAUGUCUCCA